CAUGUGCCCCCACCUAACCCCACUACCCAUCAUUCUCAUCCACUCAAUUUCACCCACAUCUCUUCUCUCUUUUGGCCGGCUCUCUCCUUUCUUUCUUUCAUUUUCUCUCUUUUCAUUUUACUGAAACACACACCCGCCCGCCAGCCUCCACUCCAAAACACACUAUCUCACCAUCAUUUUUCCGGCAAGAUCACCAGAAAAAUACUUAGGAACUCCAAAGCAUCUUCAUCAUUUUAUUUGAGGUUCUAACUAAUCUCUCCUUGGAGCUUGGAGAAUUAGGAUUUUGCGGUUGCGAGGUCAGUGCCCUUUCACUUUGGAUGACGCGUUCUUCCCUACUGUUCAUGGGGGGAACAGGUUCCUUGAUUGUGUGUGGGUGAGGCUGCUGUCCAUGGGGCCAAGAGACCACAUGCAAAAGAGGUUCUAUUUGACGUGCUCUCUUUGCUGCCUAUGGGGGGAGAGAAAAACCUUGAGGAUAUGGGUGAGGCUGCUGUCCAUGGGGCCAAGAGUCUGCAUAUCAGAGAGGAUAAUAUCAUGUCAGUUGUGAAUGGAUGGAUCCCCUAACCGGUCUAUGUGGUAGUGUGGUAGAUUUGUGAUAAUUUAUCUUAUGUUAGAUAUUAUGGUUUUAGAAAUUAUAUUGUUAAUACUCACAGAUUAUAGUAUAUAGUUUCAAGGUAUUUACUUUGAAAAACUUUGUGCUUCAUUAUGUAAUCAUUCUUGUCAUAUUAUUAUUAUUGAAGAUGAAACUUACAUUUCCCCCACCCCCAUUAUUGUGCUACUUACUAGGCUCUGUUUCAUUCCAUUAUUUUUAUAAACUUUUCAGAGUAGGCAACAAUCUUUUAAGACAGCUUUUUGGUGGCUAAUAGUAGUUAGACUAACUACUGAUGGAGGCUAAAUUUUUGUAAUGGAUAUAUUAGAUGGUGUACAUCUUAGACUAGGCUUGACUCAUUCUUUUGUAUAUUAUAGUGGUUAUGACUGUAUUUCCACUGAUGGGACAAGCUGUUGUUAUGUAAUUGUUUUAUUCAGACCUCUAUUCUUUUGUGGCCAAUGGUCCUUGUAAUUAAUGCUUAGAACUCUGACUUA